UACGUAGGGGGCUAGCGUUGUCCGGAAUCAUUGGGCGUAAAGAGCGUGUAGGCGGCCCGGUAAGUCCGCUGUGAAAGUCGGGGGCUCAACCCUCGAAUGCCGGUGGAUACUGUCGAGCUAGAGUGCGGAAGAGGCGAGUGGAAUUCCUGGUGUAGCGGUGAAAUGCGCAGAUAUCAGGAGGAACACCGAUUGCGAAGGCAGCUCGCUGGGACGUUACUGACGCUGAGACGCGAAAGCGUGGGGAGCAAACAGG
rnacentral:rRNA from 1 species